UAAACCUCUUUUAGCAAGGAAGAAGCGAAAGUGACGGUACCUGCAGAAAAAGCGCCGGCUAACUACGUGCCAGCAGCCGCGGUAAUACGUAGGGCGCAAGCGUUAUCCGGAAUUAUUGGGCGUAAAGAGCUCGUAGGCGGUCUGUCGCGUCUGCUGUGAAAACCCGAGGCUCAACCUCGGGCCUGCAGUGGGUACGGGCAGACUAGAGUGCGGUAGGGGAGAUUGGAAUUCCUGGUGUAGCGGUGGAAUGCGCAGAUAUCAGGAGGAACACCGAUGGCGAAGGCAGAUCUCUGGGCCGUAACUGACGCUGAGGAGCGAAAGGGUGGGGAGCAAACAGGCUUAGAUACCCUGGUAGUCCACCCCGUAAACGUUGGGAACUAGUUGUGGGGUCCUUUCCACGGAUUCCGUGACGCAGCUAACGCAUUAAGUUCCCCGCCUGGGGAGUACGGCCGCAAGGCUAAAACUCAAAUGAAUUGACGGAA
rnacentral:rRNA from 1 species